GUCGGAUCCAGCUGCGUGAGGCCCACCUCUGCCCAGGUCAGUAGGCUACACCUGCCUGAUUCUCUGAUUGGUCAGCUGCAGAGUUCAUGGGUCCCUCCUUUUGGUUUAGCUCCUGCCUCUGGCUCUGUUCCCAUAUUCUACCCACCAGGAAACCAAGCGAUCCUAAAAUGGGUUUAACACCUCCACACUGAAUGCUUUUAACUCGUUUACAAGCAACUACCCCUUUCUCCAC
rnacentral:lncRNA from 1 species